rnacentral:rRNA from 1 species
GACACGGCCCAGACUCCUACGGGAGGCAGCAGUAGGGAAUCUUCCGCAAUGGACGAAAGUCUGACGGAGCAACGCCGCGUGAGUGAUGAAGGUUUUCGGAUCGUAAAGCUCUGUUGUUAGGGAAGAACAAGUACCGUUCGAAUAGGGCGGUACCUUGACGGUACCUAACCAGAAAGCCACGGCUAACUACGUGCCAGCAGCCGCGGUAAUACGUAGGUGGCAAGCGUUGUCCGGAAUUAUUGGGCGUAAAGGGCUCGCAGGCGGUUCCUUAAGUCUGAUGUGAAAGCCCCCGGCUCAACCGGGGAGGGUCAUUGGAAACUGGGGAACUUGAGUGCAGAAGAGGAGAGUGGAAUUCCACGUGUAGCGGUGAAAUGCGUAGAGAUGUGGAGGAACACCAGUGGCGAAGGCGACUCUCUGGUCUGUAACUGACGCUGAGGAGCGAAAGCGUGGGGAGCGAACAGGAUUAGAUACCCUGGUAGUCCACGCCGUAAACGAUGAGUGCUAAGUGUUAGGGGGGUUUCCGCCCCUUAGUGCUGCAGCUAACGCAUUAAGCACUCCGCCUGGGGAGUACGGUCGCAAGACUGAAACUCAAAGGAAUUGACGGGGGCCCGCACAAGCGGUGGAGCAUGUGGUUUAAUUCGAAGCAACGCGAAGAACCUUACCAGGUCUUGACAUCCUCUGACAAUCCUAGAGAUAGGACGUCCCCUUCGGGGGCAGAGUGACAGGUGGUGCAUGGUUGUCGUCAGCUCGUGUCGUGAGAUGUUGGGUUAAGUCCCGCAACGAGCGCAACCCUUGAUCUUAGUUGCCAGCAUUCAGUUGGGCACUCUAAGGUGACUGCCGGUGACAAACCGGAGGAAGGUGGGGAUGACGUCAA